UAUAGCCAUACCACACUGAGUAUGCCCAGACACGUCUGAUCUCAGAAGGUAAGCAUGGAUGGAACUGGUUAGAAUGUACAUGGAAAAAUAGCAAGUAAAACACUGUGC
rnacentral:rRNA from 1 species